rnacentral:lncRNA from 1 species
GUCGCCCCUUGGGUAGCAGUUCCCGUUAACCUUAGCCACAAAGUCAAAGCCCCCAGGUGGCAGGGCUGGGACCUCACCAGCACCGAUGCAGAAGGAGACCUGCAGGGAUGGAGAGGGGCCCUGCUGGCAGCACCUCAGGAGAUGGGGUGGCAAGGAUCAAGCAGGAGAAGCCAGAGUGGCUGUUGCAGACUGUGGCACCUCAGGCCGUGCUUCCGGAGAAGGACAAGGAAAACAUAUUUCAGCAGCAGAGUGGUCUCCCACCCUGCCAGACCAUGGGGCGGCCCUGGGCUCUGGGGUCACAAGAGGAGACUGGAGAUGCACGGUGCACCCCACUUCCUGAGCACGAUGCACCGCUGGCUACU